rnacentral:circRNA from 1 species
CCCUCAUCCCUGUGCCCUUCUGUCUGGGUCUCUGUCCCCUUGUCUGGGUGUCUGUCACCCUCCGCUCUCUGGUUCCUCGCCUUCCCGUCUCUAAUCUCACAGGGCUGAUGUGGACGCUGCUGUAUGGGGGGAACACCUGCCCUGCUCACAGGGCUCUGCCACUUUUCCCUUCCAGGAGGGCAUCCUGGCUGUUUCACCCGUGGACUUGAACUUGCCAUUGGACUGAGCUCUUUCUCAGAAGCUGCUACAAGAUGACACCUCAUGUCCCUG